AAAUUUUAUUUGAAAAUUAUAUUAUAUGCUCUGAAUUCCGUGAAACAUGCCUGUACAGUUUAUGAAAUCUAUUUUUAUAUUUAUGCAUUCUCAGCAUGGCUAUGAUCUGUUCUGUUCUGUUCUGGCCCCGCCAAUGGGGAUUAUACGUUGAACCUGUCGACUUGUAAUCUGUGAGGAACCGGUUUCGACACCGCGCCACCGGUGAUUAGAAUAGUGGUUUCUGGACACCGUUUCCACCGGUGACUAACAAUAGUGGUUUCUGACACUCUGUGCAACCCAUGCCACUGGGUUACGUGGCCGUAGCCUAUUAUGUUGAGAUUCUGGUAUAAGAGUUUUUGGAAAAAUGAUAAUAAGUUUUGAAAACAACAAAACGAUGUUAUUUAUGAUUUAUUCCAGACAUUAUCCUGUAUUUUGAUCUGAUAUGCUCUGACCCCACUCUGGGGUAUUUUGUUGCUUACUGGGCUAGUGUAGCUCAUUAUUCUGUUUUCUUCAUUUUUCAGAUCCAGAGGCUUGAUCGCACGGGAUUGGGGAGUGCGUUAGAGUUUCCAACGAUUAUUCCUUCAGUUAUUAGCAUUUUAGAUUAGUCUGUACAUUUGGAUCAUGUUGGCAUAUGCUAUUUUGAAAUUUUGUAAGACUGCUUUUGAAUGAUUUUAAGUAUUUUGUCAAUUUUAAGCAUCUGCUAUUAAUCCUUAAAUAAAGUCUUGAACAUCUGUAUUUGCUUUGAUGUAAUCCGAUGCCUUGCACGCCUGCGCGGCCCGCCGUGCGGGCGAGCGGCGUCUGCCGCGCCUCGGGCUCGGGGC
rnacentral:lncRNA from 1 species